rnacentral:rRNA from 1 species
CUACUGAGGGUGCGAGCGUUAAUCGGAAUUACUGGGCGUAAAGCGAGUUUAGGCGGCUACCUAAGUCGGAUGUGAAAGCCCUGGGCUCAACCUGGGAAUUGCAUUCGAAACUGAGUAGCUCGAGUCUGAUAGAGGGAAGUGGAAUUUCCGGUGUAGCGGUGAAAUGCGUAGAUAUCGGAAGGAACAUCAGUGGCGAAGGCGGCUUCCUGGAUUAAGACUGACACUAAGGUGCGAAGGCGUGGGGAGCAAACAGGAUUAGAAACCCCUGUAGUCC